GGAAAGAUGUCUGAGUGGUUGAAGGUAUAGAUCUGGAACAUCUAUGUGAUGCUUUUAUAUCACCGAGGGUUCGAAUCCCUCUCUUUCCG
rfam:Auxenochlorella protothecoides strain 0710 contig1039, whole genome shotgun sequence.